UACGGAGGGUGCAAGCAUUAAUCGGAUUUAUUGGGCGUAAAGGGCGCGUAGGCGGAAUUGUAAGUCAGAUGUGAAAUCCCGGGGCUCAACCCCGGAACUGCAUUUGAAACUGCAUUUCUUGAGGAUAGGAGGAGAAAACGGAAUUCCACAAGUAGCGGUGAAAUGCGUAGAUAUGUGGAAGAACACCGGUGGCGAAGGCGGUUUUCUAUCUUAUUCCUGACGCUGAUGCGCGAAAGCAAGGGGAUCAAACAGG
rnacentral:rRNA from 1 species